rnacentral:rRNA from 1 species
AGAGUUUGAUCAUGGCUCAGAUUGAACGCUGGCGGCAGGCUUAACACAUGCAAGUCGAACGGUAACAGGGAGAAAGCUUGCUUUCUUUGCUGACGAGUGGCGGACGGGUGAGUAAUGCUUGGGAAUCUGGCUUAUGGAGGGGGAUAACUACGGGAAACUGUAGCUAAUACCGCGUAAUAUCUUCGGAUUAAAGGGUGGGACCGCAAGGCCACCUGCCAUAAGAUGAGCCCAAGUGGGAUUAGGUAGUUGGUGGGGUAAAGGCCUACCAAGCCGACGAUCUCUAGCUGGUCUGAGAGGAUGGCCAGCCACACUGGAACUGAGACACGGUCCAGACUCCUACGGGAGGCAGCAGUGGGGAAUAUUGCACAAUGGGGGGAACCCUGAUGCAGCCAUGCCGCGUGAAUGAAGAAGGCCUUCGGGUUGUAAAGUUCUUUCGGUGAUGAGGAAGGUGUUUGUUUUAAUAGAACAAGCAAUUGACGUUAGUCACAGAAGAAGCACCGGCUAACUCCGUGCCAGCAGCCGCGGUAAUACGGAGGGUGCGAGCGUUAAUCGGAAUGACUGGGCGUAAAGGGCACGCAGGCGGUGACUUAAGUGAGAUGUGAAAGCCCCGGGCUUAACCUGGGAAUUGCAUUUCAUACUGGGUUGCUAGAGUAUUUUAGGGAGGGGUAGAAUUCCACGUGUAGCGGUGAAAUGCGUAGAGAUGUGGAGGAAUACCGAAGGCGAAGGCAGCCCCUUGGGAAUAUACUGACGCUCAUGUGCGAAAGCGUGGGGAGCAAACAGGAUUAGAUACCCUGGUAGUCCACGCUGUAAACGCUGUCUGAUUUGGGGAUUGGGCUUUGAGCUUGGUGCCCGUAGCUAACGUGAUAAA